rnacentral:lncRNA from 1 species
AUGACUAUGUGUGAUAAAUCAGAGAGCUAUAACACUAUGACAGCUAUGAGUUAUGCAGCUACAUGGAUGACUCAGCUUUGCCAGAUGUUUCUGAGAAAAGGUCAAAGCCAUUCCUAAAAAAAAAAUUAAAAUAUCCUAGAAACUACAUAUAAAUAGUCCAUUACCUCUUUGGGGGGGAAGGCACAGGAAGAAUUGCAAGGCACCAUUUCAUUUAUAAAGGUAACCUGUCUGCCAUAUACACCAUUACAGCAUAGAGGAUGUAGGAGGAAAGAGAUCUAUCUCUGAGUAAUUAUUGAAGGCAAAAAUGACAAGCAUGUGUUGUUGCAGGAGUCUACAGUGUGUCAUCAGUCCAGUAGGACCAGGUGGGGGUGUGAUAACCUUGGAGAAGUGAAUUCAGAUCUUUGAAAACUGCCAGAGGAUGAGCAAAUCCCCAGAAAGGGAUUACUGUCUUCAUGUAGGUCCUGAAGUGGAAAUGUUCAUUGGUUUUAUAGGAAGCUUGAGAGAGUCAUGUACAAGUAGAGUUCUACAAAACCCAGUUUGGAAGCCAAAUCUCAAAGUGUCCUGGCUGUUAAAAUACUGGAUGUGUCAGUGUUUGUUAUAACUAGAACAUCAGGAACCCAGGGCCUCCAACACCCUGCAAACCUGCAUUAACCUGACACCUUUUACAAGCUUUGAAAAGAAAUCACAGGAAUGCAGGCACAUCCCAGAGCCUGCCACCACAGCAGGAAAGCAUCCUGCCAACGUGUUUACUCACUGCUGGGAUGAGCACACCCAAGAUGAGAAAGUUCUCUUAACCACGACAGGAAACCAUUUUCCAUCACGGUCCUUUGGGUGUUUUACAAACCCGCAGGAGGAAGCUCUGCCUUCGGGAGCUGCCAAGGACACCGAGGGCACCUGAUGGUGGUGCAGGUGCCCAGUUGUGCCCCCUCCUGCCAGGGCACUGGGGGGGUAACACAGGGCUGGACUAAGUGACAGGAGCAGCGUCAGGGGAGGUGAGACACCUCCUGCCCUGGUUCUCUUGUCCUGUAAGGUGCCUUAGACUGUGUUUGCCUGUGCUGGGCCACAACUGCCUUAGCACUGCAAGCACCUCAGCAGGGAUGUGUGGGCACGGGAGCUCUUGUGGUCACACUGUAAAUCAGAGCCAGAGGUGGAACUUGACCCAGUAAUGCAGAGAGCCAGUUCCUCAGCUCCAUCAAAUACACAUCCUGUAAUUGCACAGCCAUAUAUUGGUUCUUAGUGUAGUCAAGCACCAACUAUUUAAGGCAGGGAUUCCCUAUGCAAGUAAUUGUAUGUUAUAUAAUAAGAGUUAUGUGUCUAAUAGUUACUGGGAAAAAAAGAAGUAUAAGAAUAAUAAUUGCUAUGAUUCCUGCCUUCCCUAGUAGUGCCUGUUUUCCUUGAAGUAAUCAGGGACUUGUUGCUAGGUAGUUAAUAUUAAAGGUACCUUAAAUAUUUUAAUGUAUCUAUGCCAGCUGUUUCUAGGCAGCAAUAUUUGUUUAUGAUAUUGUUAUCCAACCCUACUUAUAUCCUUUAUUCAGUGUAAUCUAAUAUAUCCAUACAGUUACAUUGCAGUCCUGAUACUACACUGAGUAGCAUACUGAAGUAACUACUGAUAAGAAUUAUAAAAUACCUCUAAUGUGCAAGAUUUAACCUUAGUCAAGAUGCACUGGUAGCUACCAGUUCAAACAUUUGAAACUGAAUUAAAUACUUAAAUAAUACAAUUUGAAAUUUGGCAGGCUUCUGUGCACUUUCAGCAUCAGCAGAUGCUUACAGAAUUCUAAAGUUUUAAAGUAAAUGAUAUGAUUUCAGUCAAAUGCCUAAUUAAGGGUAUGUGUCAUCAUUUCAUCAGUCCUUUGGAAGUAAAAAUUGCUGUAUUUUUGGCCAUUGGGCAACAUUGCUUUAGGUUUUCCUUGGUUUAAUCUCAUUUUUAUUAAAAAAAAAAAUAGAAAAACUCACCUGAUUUAAAAAUUAUGGCUCUUACUAACAGAUUGUGCACUCUGAGCUGUGCACUUGGAGACGCGAGAGACUGCUGAUGACUCCUGUUCUCUGCCACAGAUCUAUAUGGGCUGUGGAAAACACAUUAUCUGCCUGCCAACCCUGUGGGAAUUGCGUGAGGGAAUUAUUCCAGACACUGCUCAUUUCUGCAAAUGGAAGGAGCUGAGCUUUCCUGACAAGACAGGACUGGGUGGGAACUCAAAGUUCACCAAAUGAUUUUGCAAAUCUUCUCUGUUCACUGUCAGGGGCUGCAGAAACACAGCAAAGCCAAGCUCGGAUCCACACCCCUUUGUUGCUAAAUUCAGUGUAUUUCUUUUAGUGUUUCAAAACUCAGAUAACCCCCCAUUUUUUAAAAUCAUUUUCUAUUUGUGAAGGCAGCUGAACAGCCCUGCAGACAGAUCAUGGUACACCAGGUAUAUAAAAUAGAAGCAGUAAUACCUCACAGUUUGUUACAGUUUCUUGCCUGCUCACCUCAUUCCUAGAAUAGGUACCGUAUUUCAUUAGGAGAAGCUAAUUAUUUUCAUCUCUAUCUCCAGCUUUUUUUAUCAAGACUUCCAACAAUGUUAUCCAGUAGUGCAAACUCUACCAGUGAUUUCUGUAUUUGUUGUGAACACGUCAGAGAACGUUGCACAUUCCUUGAAUAGAUGUCAAAUAUAAAGAAGGGGAGAUAAAGAGCCCCAUAUUCCAUGUUUAAUUCUGACACAUGAAUUGUGUCUCCACAGCUCAGUGCCCGUUGAAACUAUUUCCUGAAACACAUGUGGCAAAUGCACUUUUCUCCUUAUAAUCUGAAAUGUAACAUUAAAUCCUCCACUUCUGCUUGCAUCAGUUUGCUGGGGCAAGGACAUAUGGAAACUAAAGCUGGGCCCGUUCCUUUGGUGUAGAUUUCCAGCUUCUGGAGACAGCAGUGGAAAUUCCAGUGGAAAUUCCAGUAGGAAACAACUGAACUCGCCUCUUUUUAAAAAUUGCUUAUUUAUAAAUUCUGGAAGGGAAUUUGACUGAGAAUUGGUAUGUUCCCCUGCUUUGUAACCAGCUUCUUGCCCAUCUUAAAAUAACUCUUGCCUUGGGUGGCAGAGGCUGGCAUACAAUUACACUGGUCUCUAGUGUUACACAGCGUGGUUCCUGGUGUGGAGACUGAUACCACACACAAUACUGAGCUUGGAAACCCAAAUUAUCCAGCACAAAGGCUAAUGGACCUCAGUGUCACCCAUUUACCUUCAAACAAAUGCUUUACCUUAAGAGAAAAACAAACACACUUGUUCAUUUGGCUCUCCUGUACCAUUAGAAUGCUUCUAGUCACAAAAAUAAAGGUGAAAGUGCCAAUGAAAUCA